AUGGUGGAUGCCGAAAAACCUUAAGAGUAGGCU
rnacentral:ncRNA from 1 species